GGAUCGGUUGCCUGUGCGGUUCUACCCUGUUUUGGGUAGCGAAGUCGUCCCUUGAUGGAUAUUUGCUUGCCCUGAUGACAUUUUUGUGUCUUUUGGGGCAGCCGAAAUGUUGGCGAAAUCCUUGUGUUGGCGUGUGGUGAAGUGCCGCGUUGCUAUGACUUGGAUUUUUGCUGGCUCUCACGGAUGUGGUGCCUAGUGCUAGCUCUGUGGGACUUUGCCCCGCAGACUUCGGGAGGUCCCUUGUGCGAACCAUUGCUCUUAUACGCCGUCUCGUCGUGUCGCCACCGCGGCACGCAGAUCGUGUUCUUUCGUGCAGUCGUUGACAGCACGUUACGAACAUCAGCGAAGAGGCGUUUGUGCAGGUGGAUAGCCUCUCUGACCGUAUGAGUAGCGAUUUCCGGUU
rnacentral:misc_RNA from 1 species